UGCCUCUCGGACUUCACUUAACUCCAUUUUGAAAGGGACAAACAAAGUCAUCUCUGCUUCUGGAACCAACUGAAUGACAAGAUUUCUUAAAAAAAUAAAUAGUGUUUGCCAUUGAUAACCCUCAUAUACUAGACUACAGACUUUAGUGAUAAACAUGUCAGGAGCAGCUGUGGGUGUAGCAACAUACGCUGGAGGACGAGUGGGAAGAAAUGCACUCUGUUUUUGCUGUGUGAUUUGAGGUCACCAGGCUAAGGGGAAUACCACCUUACUUGACAGAGGGAACUGUGCAUCACCCAGAGAUCCUAGACUCAAAGCAGUAGCUGGGGAAGACUUUGGGUUGUGUCCACUGGAGAAGGGAGUGUGU